rnacentral:rRNA from 1 species
GUGAGUAGUUCAGAGUUUGAUCCUGGCUCAGGACGAACGCUGGCGGCGUGCCUAACACAUGCAAGUCGAACGGAGUUAAGACUCGGUUUUAACUUAGUGGCGAACGGGUGAGUAACGCGUGAGAAACCUGCCUUUCAGUGGGGGACAACAGUUAGAAAUGACUGCUAAUACCGCAUAACCCGCUAGGGCCGCAUGGCCCAGACGGAAAAGAUUUAUCGGUACGAGAUGGACCCGCGUCUGAUUAGCUAGUUGGUGAGGUAACGGCCCACCAAGGCGACGAUCAGUAGCCGGCCUGAGAGGGUGAACGGCCACAUUGGGACUGAGACACGGCCCAA